rnacentral:rRNA from 1 species
UACGAAGGGUGCAAGCGUUACUCGGAAUUACUGGGCGUAAAGCGUGCGUAGGCGGUUCGUUAAGUCUGUCGUGAAAGCCCUGGGCUCAACCUGGGAAUUGCGAUGGAUACUGGCGAGCUAGAGUACGGUAGAGGAUGGUGGAAUUCCCGGUGUAGCGGUGAAAUGCGUAGAGAUCGGGAGGAACAUCAGUGGCGAAGGCGGCCAUCUGGAUCAACACUGACGCUGAGGCACGAAAGCGUGGGGAGCAAACAGG